rnacentral:rRNA from 1 species
GACGAACGCUGGCGGCGUGCUUAACACAUGCAAGUCGAACGGAAAAGCCCUGCUUUUGUAGGGUGCUCGAGUGGCGAACGGGUGAGUAACACGUGAGUAACCUGCCCUUGACUUUGGGAUAACUUCAGGAAACUGGGGCUAAUACCGGAUAGGAGCUCCUGCUGCAUGGUGGGGGUUGGAAAGUUUCGGCGGUUGGGGAUGGACUCGCGGCUUAUCAGCUUGUUGGUGGGGUAGUGGCUUACCAAGGCUUUGACGGGUAGCCGGCCUGAGAGGGUGACCGGCCACAUUGGGACUGAGAUACGGCCCAGACUCCUACGGGAGGCAGCAGUGGGGAAUAUUGCACAAUGGGCGGAAGCCUGAUGCAGCAACGCCGCGUGCGGGAUGACGGCCUUCGGGUUGUAAACCGCUUUCGCCUGUGACGAAGCGUGAGUGACGGUAAUGGGUAAAGAAGCACCGGCUAACUACGUG